CAGCAGCCGCGGUAAUACCGAGGGUGCGAGCGUUAAUCGGAUUUACUGGGCGUAAAGCGUGCGUAGGCGGCUUUUUAAGUCGGAUGUGAAAUCCCUGAGCUUAACUUAGGAAUUGCAUUCGAUACUGGGAAGCUAGAGUAUGGGAGAGGAUGGUAGAAUUCCAGGUGUAGCGGUGAAAUGCGUAGAGAUCUGGAGGAAUACCGAUGGCGAAGGCAGCCAUCUGGCCUAAUACUGACGCUGAGGUACGAAAGCAUGGGGAGCAAACAGGAUUAGAUACCCCCGUAGUCCCUGUCUCUUAUAA
rnacentral:rRNA from 1 species